GUGGGGAAUAUUGGACAAUGGGCGAAAGCCUGAUCCAGCCAUGCCGCGUGCAGGAAGACGCAUCUAUGGUGUGUAAACUGCUUUUGUACGGGAAGAAACACUCCCUCGUGAGGGAGCUUGACGGUACCGUAAGAAUAAGGAUCGGCUAACUCCGUGCCAGCAGCCGCGGUAAUACGGAGGAUCCAAGCGUUAUCCGGAAUCAUUGGGUUUAAAGGGUCCGUAGGCGGUUUAAUAAGUCAGUGGUGAAAGCCCAUCGCUCAACGAUGGAACGGCCAUUGAUACUGUUAGACUUGAAUUACAAGGAAGUAACUAGAAUAUGUAGUGUAGCGGUGAAAUGCUUAGAUAUUACAUGGAAUACCAAUUGCGAAGGCAGGUUACUACUUGUGGAUUGACGCUGAUGGACGAAAGCGUGGGGAGCAAACAGGAUUAGAUACCCUAGUAGUCC
rnacentral:rRNA from 1 species